GGCCCCAAUAACUUGUCCCAGAGGGGAUGCCCAGGGCUCAGUUGCCUGAGGACAGCAGUGCAGUUGACAUGGAUAUUCUCUUUCCUCUGGACAGUGUUAUUGGUACAGAGCUGUGCCCCAGCCCCAUUCCCCAGAUCAUCCAUUUCGUCCUCUUUGUUGUGUUCAGCCUGGUGAUCCUGAUUAUCUUACGCCUCUACAUUCCCAGGGAGCCGUCCUCAGUGCCUCCCAGAGAGGAGGACAGCGAGAAUGAUCAAGCUGAAGUGGGGGAAUGGCUCAGGAUCGGAAAUAAAUAUAUCACUUUGAAAGAUUACAGAAUUCUCUUGAAAGAACUGGAGAACCUUGAGAUCUACACUUUCCUGUCGAAAAAGUGCCUGAAGAAGCUCUCUAGGGAGGGCAGCUCCCAUCACCUUCCACGCCAAGUCCGCCCAGGGCCAGUGUACAAACCAGCACCUGCUAGGAACCACCGGCCACGUGGGGGGCGUGGGAAAGCUUCUCCCACCAGCUUCCAUGUGUCCCCACGGGCUCCCCUGGCUCCUCUGGCCUCCAUGCCGUCAUCAGUCCCGAAGACCUCCGUAGAGUCCUUGGGGUCUCCAUCAUCCCUGAGCUCCUCCAAGCCACGAGAGCCUCUGUGUCCCCUGAAGCACCCUUCACACCAGCCACCUGCGAGCACCCUAUCACCAAACCCGACCAGCUCCACAGAAUCCUUGGGCCUGGAUGUGCCAACGCUGCUGGACGCAUAAGACACCAAAAUCCCAGACACUCCCAUGGACACCGAAUAUCCGACAUCCACGAACAAUUGGGAAUCUCCUGAGGACAACUUGGAGAUGGAGUCUCACUCUGUUGCUCAGGCUGGAGUGCAGUGGCACCAUCUUGGCUCACCACAACCUCCGCCUCCCGGAUUCAAGCCAUUCUCCUGCCUCAGCCUCCCGAGUAACUGGGAUUACAGGCUUGUGCCACCGCACCCAGCUAAUUUUUGUAAUUUUAGUCGAGAGAAGGUGUCACCAUGUUAGCCAGGCUUGUCUUGAACUCCUGACCUUGAGAUAUCUGCCCACCUCAGCCUCUCAAAGUGCUGGGAUUAUAGGCUUGAGCCACCACGGCUGGAUGAAUCAUAAAUUGUAAACCUGAAUAAAAUGCUGCAACCUCCAAUGAGAGGAAAAUA